AUGAUGGGACUGGCAGGGCCGAGUUGGUGGAACCUGCGAUGGUGGGACCGGAGCCCGUGCACUCGGUCAGGAUUGGUGGGUGGGACGUGCAAGUGGACCAGGGCGAAUCACGCGACACCCAUGGUUCCGGUUGGUGUGCGGAUCACACCACGCCCGAGGUGGAGGAGACUGGGCUGGACAGUUGCAUGUUGGGCAACCUGCGUGACGGACACCACCGGGUCCCACCCUGCAUGCGGAUGGGACGCACCCAUGCACGUUGAAUGGGGACUGGUUUUUGGUAAGUUUAUCACAGGCAGAUGA
rnacentral:rRNA from 1 species